AGCGAACGCUGGCGGCAGGCUUAAUACAUGCAAGUCGAGCGCCUGUAGCAAUACAGGAGCGGCAGACGGGAGAGUAACGCGUGGGAACGUGCCCUUUGGUUCGGAACAACACAGGGAAACUUGUGCUAAUACCGGAUAAGCCCUUACGGGGAAAGAUUUAUCGCCAAAGGAUCGGCCCGCGUCUGAUUAGCUAGUUGGUGGGGUAAUGGCCCACCAAGGCGACGAUCAGUAGCUGGUCUGAGAGGAUGAUCAGCCUCAUUGGGACUGAGACACGGCCCAAACUCCUACGGGAGGCAGCAGUAGGGAAUAUUGGACAAUGGGGGCAACCCUGAUCCAGCCAUGCCGCGUGAGUGAUGAAGGCCUUAGGGUUGUAAAGCUCUUUCGGCGGGGAAGAUAAUGACGGUACCCGCAUAAGAAGCCCCGGCUAACUUCGUGCCAGCCGCCGCAGUAAGAC
rnacentral:rRNA from 1 species